UGCAGCAAAAGAAAUGGAUACAGUAAUGAGUAAUGAUAACCAAAUUGAUCCGGUUUGUAUGUCACCUUUUCUUAUAUAUCUCCUUUUUAUUUUUUAUAAAGAAUCAUCUCAGAGUGCCCUUCCUAUCUCUUUCCC
rnacentral:ribozyme from 13 species